UCUUCACCUAGUGGCGGAAGCACUGGUGUCUCCUCAACUGGUGGCGGAAGUACUGGUGGCUCCUCAACUGGUGGCUCAUCACCUGGUGGCGGAAUCACUGGUGGUUCCUCAACUGGUGGCUCAUCACCUAGUGGCGGAAGCACUGGUGGCUCCUCAAUUGGUGGUGGAAGUAUCGAUGGCUCCUCACCUGGUGGCAGAAUACCUGGUGGCGGAAUAACCGGUGGCUCCUCAACUGGUGGAUCCUGACCUAGUGGCGGAAGUACUGGUGGCUCCUCAACUGGCGGAAGUACUGGUGGCCUCUUAGUCCGAGGACUAGGGGGACGAUGUUGAGGUUGAACUGGUGGCGGAAGAAGUGGAGGAGAACGGGGUGGCCUCUUAGUUCGAGGACUAGGGGGACGAUGUCGAGGUUGAACUGGUGGCGGAAGAAGUGGAGGAGAACGUGGUGGCCUCUUAGUCCGAGGACUAGGGGGACGAUGUUGAGGUUGAACUGGUGGCGGAAAAACUGGAGGAGAACGGGGUGGCCUCUUAGUCCGAGGACUAGGGGGACGAUGUUGAGGUUGAACUGGUGGCGGAAAAACUGGAGGAGAACGGGGUGGCCUCUUAGUCCGAGGACUAGGGGGACGAUGUUGAGGUUGAACUGGUGGCGGAAAAACUGGAGGAGAACGGGGUGGCCUCUUAGUCCGAGGACUAGGGGGACGAUGUUGAGGUUGAACUGGUGGCGGAAAAACUGGAGGAGAACGGGGUGGCCUCUUAGUCCGAGGACUAGGGGGACGAUGUUGAGGUUGAACUGGUGGCGGAAGAAGUGGAGGAGAACGGGGUGGCCUCUUAGUUCGAGGACUAGGGGGACGAUGUCGAGGUUGAACUGGUGGCGGAAGAAGUGGAGGAGAACGUGGUGGCCUCUUAGUCCGAGGACUAGGGGGACGAUGUUGAGUCUGAACUGGUGGCGGAGAAGGUGGCCUCUUAGGCCGAGGACUAAGGGGACGACGAUGUCCAUGUUGAGCCUUAGGUCUAGGUUUAAUUCUUGGAAUCCCAAAUCUUAAAGACUCACGAAGAGUUGGAUCAUGAGAUGAAUAUUCAUCAGUGAGUUGAUCUCCAUUAGUGAGCUCUAAGAAUGAGCUAACUACUAAAACUGAAACUACAAAUAGCCACUUCCCUGAUAUGAUAGCCAUAAUACUAGUUGUUAUAAUUCUUUCAAAUCUCUAUGUUGAGUAUGUAAAAUAACGUUAAAAGGGACCAAAUUUAUAGGACCAUGCAUGCAAAAAGAACAUUUAUGAAAUUUUAGUUGGGACAAUGGGGCUCAACUAUUAAAUGAGUUUUCCCUAACUAAAUAGAAUUUCAUUUGCAAGAUUAUCAAAUAUUUUUAGCCUUCAUCAGGAAAUAUUCCAUUAAGAUAUUUAUUACACAACUAACACACUAUCUUUAAACCUAUGUAUUCUCACGUUCUAUAAUUUUGUUGAUCACAGUGAUAGAUUGUUUUAUCAAGAUUUAGGGGAAAUAAAAAUUAUUUUUAAGUAGUAGCCUUAGUUGAAGAAAAAUUCACGAGUUCACUUCCUUUUACUUUUCUUAUUUUUUUUUAGGGAGGGGUGAAUGGGAUUUAAUCCUUCACCAGUGAAGGACGGAACUCUCACAUCCCUGUUCACUUUCUGUUCAAACUAAUUGCAUAUCUAUUAUUGAGAUGAGAAAUUUUAUCAAUAAUUAGAAAAACUAAUAUAGUUUAUACUUAAUUAAACUGAUCAAGAAAAUGUUUAAAGUUCCACAAGCUACCCUUACUUUAGCAUAAUUUCCAAAUUAUGUGCGUAAAAGUUAAUAAACCCCUCUGCCACGUCACCAAAAGUUAUAAGUGGAGUUGAAAUUUCUUUUUAUUGAAGCUAGUCAUAGUAAAUAUAAGUUGGUAAGACUUGUUGGUAAGACUGCAAAUAGUUUUAGUAAGGAGAUGUGAUCUCUGCCAUCACCAAUGAAAAAAAUUGAACCCAUAUAUAUACUUUAUUCGUCUCGAUUUAUGUUACAUCAUUUAAUUGAAUAUAAAAUUUAAGAAAUGAAGAGUUUGAAAAUUUAUGGUUUAUUACUCCUAGAUCAUUUGUGUAGGCAUAAAUCACAUCAUUAAGGAUAAAAAGAAAAUUUUAAGUUAAAUUUUUAUUUAUAAAAAUGGGAUAUUCUUUAUAAAAUGGAAUAUAGAAAUAAUAGUGUGUCAUGUGCGGGAUAAAUUGAAAUAGAGGGAAUACCAUAUAUAAGGCACUCCUGAUUAAUCACUAUAAACUGUGCCCGAAUUAAAAAGAAACCCAACUAAAACCAGAAAGGAAAAAUUCCAACAAAGAAAAAAAGGCAAUUACAUACCAUGAACUAUAAGUUAAGCUAUUAUCAGAGGCGAACCCAGGAUUUGAAGAGUAUAAGUGCACCAAUAAUAUUUAAGCAUAAGCGAAGCAAAAUUUUCAAUGCUUAAUGGACACUUGACUUUGUAAUAAAAAGAGUUUAAAAAAAGAGUUGUUGACCAGGAUCGAACCUGGGUCUGCAAAGACAUAUUUCCUCACUUCUGCCAGCAGAUUAAGGGAAGUUCAAUGUUCAUUAUGGGUGCACUUUUCUAAUAUUUCUUUUUAUAUUAGUUUCUCAAGAUAGAUAUAUAUACACGUGAUUUUUUCGAAGUUAACGGAUGCACAUGCACCCCCACCUUUACAUGUAGGUCCGCCCUGGCUAUUAUGAAUUAAACCCAAACAAUAUCCCUUGUUCAUGCAAUAUUAAUUGUGAAACUUACAUAGAUAUACUAUAUUAAAAAUAUAUUUAUCAUCUAUAGUAAUAAUAUGGAGUGUAAAUUUCAUAUAUGACAUAUAUUAUAGUACUAUUUUCAAGCUAUAGCAGUAGAUUUAGACUUUCACGCUAUAGCAUUAAAAAUUUCAGGUUAUAACAAAAUUACAAAAAAAAAAGAAAUGUUUUAAUUAAUUGGAAAAAACUUUUAAAAAAAAAAAAGAUAAACGGAAAUUAAAAAAAAAACGGAAUUAGAAAUAAUAAAGAAAAAAACUGAAAAAAUGGAAAUAGAUGUAUUAAUUAAAUUUGAAUUGAUUGAUGAUAAUUAUUAAUUAAGCAUAAAUUUAGGAGAUUCAACCUAAUUAGGAAUAUUUGUUUUCCUUAAUUCACUCUAAUCUGUUAAAAUUAAUUAAAAAGUCUUAUUUUAUCCAUUUUCAAAAAAAAAAAAAAAAAAAAACUGUAAUUGAUGUUGGUGCAACAUUUAAUGAUCUCUGUUUUAAAUUGUAAGAUUCGUUUAUUCCAGUAUUUAUACAGAUUGUAUACAACUUCAUACAUCUUUAAAAAUACUUAAUCCACGCUUGUUAAGACAAUAUAAUUUACAAUUAGGUUGUAAAUUGUCCAGGAUGAAAAAANNNNNNNNNNNNNNNNNNNNNNNNNNNNNNNNNNNNNNNNNNNNNNNNNNNNNNNNNNNNNNNNNNNNNNNNNNNNNNNNNNNNNNNNNNNNNNNNNNNNNNNNNNNNNNNNNNNNNNNNNNNNNNNNNNNNNNNNNNNNNNNNNNNNNNNNNNNNNNNNNNNNNNNNNNNNNNNNNNNNNNNNNNNNNNNNNNNNNNNNNNNNNNNNNNNNNNNNNNNNNNNNNNNNNNNNNNNNNNNNNNNNNNNNNNNNNNNNNNNNNNNNNNNNNNNNNNNNNNNNNNNNNNNNNNNNNNNNNNNNNNNNNNNNNNNNNNNNNNNNNNNNNAAUUAUUAUAGUCAAUGUGUAAUUUAUCUUUAGAAUGGUGUAUCCAUUUGGAAUGCAGUCUGUAUAUAACUAGUAUCCUGCGAUUACAAUAGUCAAUCUAUAAUUCAUAUGUAAUUGGUAUCUUUUUGAAAUAAAACAAUGGAUAUUAUAUAUAUCAAAUACUUAAAGCUGUAACAAACACAAAAAUAUCGUCCAAAAGUAAAAAAAAUAAUUUGUAAUUCUAAAAAGUCUAAGGUGCAAUCAACUAUCUCACAUUUGAUCUUUGUGGUCUUGGUGUGGGAUAAUUGCUGGUAUUCGGAGCAUGUUCUUUUGCUAUGCGGGGUCCAUCAAAUUUGCUAGCAACAGUGCCAGUUACUUCACUCUCACUGGUCGCGCCAUCAUCAUUCUUUGUUUUUCCAUAAUGUCAUAUGAUUGUGGCAUACCUUUGACGAUGGUACUUUGCAUCGAUAACAAUAGAACGCAUAUCAAAAAUUCUAUUACUGAUGUAUUCAGCAAAUAGACACGUGUACAAACCACAAUCACUGAAAUUUUUUUGAAAGAAAAAUCAUUUUAUACCAUUUUCAUACCAAUGUUAAAAAUUUAAAUACAUUAAUGAAGAAAUUGAAAAAGAAACCUUCCUAUUAGAAAAAAUCUCAAUUUCAUAUCAAUAUUAGUCAUAAUUCAUACAAAACAGAGUAAUUUAACAAUUCAUACCAUUUGCAUACCAAUUUAACAACUCAUACCAUUGGGCUACUGAUAUCAAACCAAUUUCAUACCAAUGUCAAAACACAAUUCAUACCAUUUGCAUACCAAUAUUAUAUCAUAUUUCAUAUAAUAUCCCAAAAUCAUAUAUUAAAAUCAGAUUCAUAUAAGUAUUAUUCACAUUUCGUACAAGUUUGACCCAAACAAAAGUUUCGAAACAACAAUAAGCAUAAUGUGAUAUUUUUAGCAAAAAAAAUCACUAAUUUGAAUAAUGUGAAAAUAAAUUAAAUAUAAUACUUACCCUAACAACUUUUUUUGCCUUUUUUGGAUAUUCGAAUUUCUGAUUCCUUCUUUUUUGUUGUUCUUCUUGUUGAUGGUUUUGAAGAUUGAGCAAUUUCUACAUUUGUUGCUUUUUUUCUUUUUUUCUUUCACUAACAAAAUCAGAAUUCGAAUCAAAAGGGGUUUCUACAAUCUUCCCCUUCCUCUUCUUUCCCUUUUUGAUCCUUCGACUGAGAGGAACCACACUUUGCAUGAAUUUCAACAUUCUUCGUGUGUAGAUCUAAUCCCACCAUUAAAUCAUAUAAAUGUGGGAGUUCUACUGUAUUUUCUUUUGAAUGAAGAAGACGAACGUUGAAGAUGGUGAGAGAGAAAAAAUUAGUUCUCUGUAAAAGAGAAACGUGGGGAUGGGGGUGGGGGAUAUACGUGUGGGUAAAAGAGGAAGGUGGGGUUGUUGUGUGAAAUCUGGGAAAAAUCCCUAAAAUGGUGUAAGAGAUAAUGGCAAUUGAUUCUCUAAUAUUCCCUAAAAUGGUGGAAGAUAUAAUGACAAUUGAUUCUCUAAUAUUAAUGUUAUUUCUCUUACUUAUUAAUUAUAAUGUAAUUAUAAAAAUAAUAACUAAUUAAUUAAAUUAAAUAAAUUAAAUUAUAAAUUAAAACUAAUUUGUUAAUAUUUGUAAUUAAACUGUUAUAAGAAGUAAUAUAAAAAAAGUACAUCUAAAGGCUGUAAUAUUAAGCCUUAAAUAGAUAUAUGAGGUGAUUUUUCCUAAUAUGGAGUAAUUUGUGUUUCGAAUCCAACACAGAUUUUGGGCCGGUAAAGCCAAAAGUGUUCAAUGGAUUUGGGAAUAUCUGUAGGCCCAACCCAUUAAUUCAAGCCCAAACAAGGCUUUGUUGAAUAACAAGGCACAACACACAAAAAGAAAAAUUAUCGCAUAAUAUCCAACCCGUUAUUGUUCAAAUCAUAUUCCCGUAAAUAAAUUCAGAGCGAACCCAGGAUUUGAAGAGUCUGGUUGCACCAAUAAUAUUUAAGCAUAAGCAAAGCAAAAUUUUCAAUGCUUAAUGGACGCUUGACUUUGUAAUAAAAAGAGUUGUUGACCAGGAUCGAACCUGGGUCUGCAAGGACGUAUUUCCUCACUUCUAUUAGCAGACCAAGGACAGUUUAAUGUUCAUUAAGGGUGCACUUUUUAAUAUAUUCCUUUUAAUUCAGUUUCUCAAGAUAGAUAGGUAUAUAUAUAUAUAUGAUUUUUUUCCGAAGUUAACGGGUGCACGUGCAUCCCAACCUUUACAUGUGGGUCCGCCCCUGCCCGUAAUAGGGUUUCAAUGUCAUCAAUUGAUUUAGAAAACCGUGUUUAAAAUCAAAGUCUAGUUCUAAAACAAUGAUAAAGUUCAACAAGUAAAGUUCAUCGUCAAAACGUGUUAUGAAAUUACAAAGGCUUAAUGCGAGAUUGUCCCAUACACGUAUAAAAUCCUAGUUCAAAUCGUCUUUAAAGUUAAAAAAAGACAUACCUCAAUUUAUACUAAUUAAUGAUGAUAAAGAUAUGGAUUUUAAUCAAAUCUCAUGAAUUUCCACUCUUUAAAAAAAAAAACUAGGAUUCUAGAGUAUAUUUAGCCAUCCGUAUUUGCAAGUGUUAUAUUUAAAUUUUGAGGUACUGUUGAGAAUAUAGUGUGUACAGUGAAGUCUGUUAGCACAGUAGAGUUGGUUAGUUAGUUGCAACAGUGAAGUUAGUUAGUUAGUUAGUUCCUUUUCAUUAUUCUAGAAUUCAGUAGAUGCUUCUAGAUUUUAGUAAUUAGAAAUUGUAUAUAAGGAACACAAUGUAACACUUAUAGUUUCAGUUUUUCUUCAAUGAAAGUUUUCUCUCUUCUCUUUCAAUCCAGUACCUCUGUGCACAAGCUUGACCACUAUUAAUGGAGGAACAGAGCAAUUUAGGAGACUUAUGAUGCUGAUUUUAUCAUGGUAUCAGAGCUCGGUUGAUUGGUUGUGUUCUUCCUCCAUCUUCGAUUUACUUCGUAAGUUUUUUUUUCCGCUGUAAUUGUGAAUUUCUGUUGCUAUUCACUUUCGCGAUCUACAUCUGAUUCAUCUUUGCUGUUGAGUUCUCUGGUUUAUUGCACAAAUUGAAUUCUCAUUUUGUGAUUGAAUCACUUCGCGAACAAAUCGAACAUCAUGGUUGAUCCCCAAGCUGAUCCUGCUUCUAGUUCGUCCACAGUUCGAAUGGAUUUUACCAGUCCUUUUUACUUACAUCCUUCAGAGAGUGCAGGUUCCUCUCUUUUACCUGCAGUUUUUUAUGGCACUGGGUAUAGAUCUUGGAGAAGGGCUAUUCUUAGAGCUCUUUCAGUCAAGAGUAAAAUAGGGUUUAUUAACGGAACAAUUGUGCAACCUACUCAUACUGAUCCCAGUUUCAUGCAGUGGGAGAGGUGUGAUGACAUGGUCACCUCUUGGAUUCUGAAUUCCCUGUCCGCAGAAUUGCGUGAUAGUUUGCAGUAUGUGAACAAUGCCAAGGAACUUUGGGCAGAGUUGGAAGAGAGAUACGAUCAGACAAAUGGUUGUAAGAUGUAUCAGUUGCAAAAGGAGAUCAAUGAUCUUGUCCAAGGCACUCUGGACAUUACUGGAUAUUACACAAAGAUGAAGAAGUUGUGGGAGGAAAUGAGUACCAUCGAUGUUAAUUCUCAGUGCACUUGUGUGUGUGUUUGUGGUGGUAAGACAAGAAUGCACAAAGCUGAGCAAGACAAGAGACUCAUACAUUUUUUGAUGGGACUAAGUGAGAUGUAUACAACUGUUAGAGGCAAUAUUCUCAUGAUGAACAUACUUCCUACCAUGGCUCAAACCUUUGCCAUCUUGUCCCAAGAGGAAAAACAAAGAGAGGUGAGACCUCACAAUCAUACAGCCUUAGAUUCUACCUCACUUAAUGCAUAUGGCCAGACCAACAGUAGUGCAUUCAGAACUAAUUACAGUUCAUCUAGAGGGGGUGGAACCAGCUCUACAAAUACAAACACCAAUGCUGUGUUUAGGGGAAAUUGCAGUACUAGCAGGUCAUCUUUGUUUUGUGAUUACUGCAAGAAAUCAGGGCACACAAAGGAUAGAUGCUACAAGCUACAUGGGUAUCCAUCUAAUCCAAGGUUUCAAAAAAGAAAAGGAACAGGUUCUGCAGCAAAUGUAUGUGCAUCUGAUAUGAAUGGGCAUCAGGCUGAGGAGGGACCUGAAAUCAAGAGGCAAAUGCCACUAAACUUGUCCAAAGAUCAAUAUGAACAACUGCUUAACUUUUUAGGGACUCUGCAGGUUGGAAAUGGAGCCUCUGACUCAGACAACUCAGACAUUAUGUUGAAUGGAGCUGUGAAUCUGGCAGGUAUACUUGCUUGUUACUCCUCUAUUACUGAUAUUGGUGAUCUUUCUUGUAAAUGUGUCAAACUAAAUGUUGGCUAUUUGGAUCAUAGACUCAGGAGCAUCACACCACAUGACUUACAGCAAAACCAACCUCACAAACAUUAAAUCACUUCCAUACCCAUUCCUAAUUUCAUUGCCUAAUGGUUAUAAGGUCAAAGUGAUUGAAAUUGGUGAUGUUUGCUUAAGUCCAGCACUGACUCUGAACAAAGUAUUGUUUGUUCCUAGCUUUAAGUUUAAUCUGAUCUCUGUUAAUUGCCUAGCACUACAACUCAAUGGUAUAGUCAGCUUUAACAAAUCUUUUUGUUUACUACAGGGCCCUUCUCUGAAGAGCCCUCUGGAACUUGGUAGAGCCAAGAAUGGUCUGUACUUCCUAUGUCACAAGUGCCACAACUGUUAUGCAUCCUCUGCUCAAGAUAAUCCACAUGUUACUUGUCAUCUUGUUCCUUCUGUAGCCAAUAUUGACAGGAAGAAAAAUCCUAAUGUGUGCACCACAUCUUUUGUAAAAAGCCCUUCUAUUUAUAAAGAAGUUUGCAAUGCUGUUAAUUCUCAUUCUUCUCAUUCUUGUCUCACUGAUUCUUGUUCCUCAUUUGCUAAUACUUCCACUCAUACUCAUGAUGAUGAACUAUUAUGGCAUGCUAGAUUAGGACAUGUACCUUUUGUAAAAAUGAAAAACAUUUCAAAUAUCCCUAUAAAUUUUUCAAAUAAACAGCGUUUUACUUGCACCAUAUGUCCUAUGGCUAGGCAAACUAGGAUUCCCUUUCCAGAGAGUACCACUACUACCACUAAAGUGUUUGAGUUACUACACAUUGACUUAUGGGGACCAUACCACAUUCCCACUCAUGAUGGUUAUCAUUACUUUCUCACUAUGGUAGAUGACCACAGUAGAUCAAAGCCUUCAUAUCCCUCAUAGAAAAUCAAUUCCAAACCAAGCUGAAAGCUAUCGAUCUGAUAAUGGUCUGGAGUUCACUUCAGCUGAGGCCACUUACUUCUUUAAUUCCAAAGGCAUCAUACACCAAAAAACUUGUCCUUAUACACCUCAGCAAAAUGAGAUAGUGGAAAGGAAACAUAAGUACCUUCUUGAAACAGCAAGAGCUCUUUUGUUCCAGUCAAAGUUACCCAUGAGGUACUGGGGGGAUUGUGUAUUGACUGCCACAUACCUCAUAAAUAGAUUGCCCUCUCAACUGCUUCACAAUAAAUCUCCAUAUGAACUAUUAUACCACAAACAACCCACAUAUUCUCAUCUUAAAAGCUUUGGUUGUCUUUGUUUUCCCACUACCUUGAAGACUCAUAAGGACAAAUUUGAACCAAGAACCACACCUCACAUCUUUAUUGGCUAUCAUUUCAACACAAAAGGUUACAAGGUUCUGAAUUUAGCUACCAAAAAGGUUCAUAUAUCUAGAGAUGUCAUUUUUCAUGAAAAAGUAUUUCCAUUUGUCAUUGCUUCUGUUGGCUCUAGUUUUAAUUAUAUCUUACAGAUGCUAAUUCAUACCACUGAUAUAACUUGCCUGCAUGGGAAAACAAACAUUUUUGUUAAUGAUGAUUUGCUGGACAAUUUCACAUCACAUGAGAUCACUGAUGACCAAGUACCUAUUAAUACCAAUCUGACCUCAACACACUCAACACCACCUGAAAUCACUCAUGAACCUAUGACACAACAUCUUUUGUCUGAUUCCAAUAAUACUUUGCCAACACUUAGAAGAACCACUAGGACAAUUCAUACUCCCAAUUACCUCAAAGAAUACAAAUACACCUUGCCUAGCCUGCACUCCCUUACUUCUUUUAUGUCCAAACAUGAUCAUGUUUGUUUCAGCAGUUUUUGUUCUGAUAGUCAGCAGUUAGUGAAAACCAUUUCACAUGAAUGUGAACCUAAUUCAUUUGAGGAGGCAAUCUUGCAUCCUGCCUGGCAACAGGCUAUGACACAGGAAUUUGAAGCUUUGUAUAACAAUGACACUUGGGAAAUUGUCACAUUACCUGAAGGAAAGAAAACUAUUGGUUGCAAGUGGGUGUACAAAAUCAAACAUAAGGCUGAUGGGAGUGUGGAGAGGUUCAAGGCUAGAUUGGUAGUCAAAGGCUACACACAACAGGCUGGGAUAGAUUACACUGAAACCUUUUCACCUGUGGUUAAAAUGACCACUGUUAGAACCUUGAUUUUUUUGGCUGUUAAGAAAGGUUGGGAUCUAUACCAAUUGGAUGUCAACAAUGCAUUCUUGCAUGGUGAUUUAAAUGAGGAAGUGUACAUGGCACCUCCACAAGGUCUUGCUGUAGGUUGUGAUAACAUGGUGUGCAAAUUGAAGAAAUCCUUGUAUGGAUUGAAACAGGCUAGCAGACAAUGGUAUGACAAGUUGGCACACAGUUUGUGUUCAAAAGGAUAUCAACACUCAGAUAGUGACUAUUCACUAUUCUAUAAAAGGAAAGGAUGUUCCUUGGUUUUUGUUUCCAUAUAUGUAGAUGACAUAAUUAUGACUGGGACUGAUAUUGAUGAGAUCAACUCUUUAAAGGUCUUCCUGAAUGAUUAGUUCAAGAUAAAGGAUCUGGGCAAAUUACACUACUUUCUGGGACUGGAAAUUUUAUACAGACAUGAUGGUGUUCUUGUUUCACAAAGAAAAUUUACUUCUGAUCUCUCGAAAGAUUUUGAUGUACUGAACUACAAGGCCACCACAUCACCACUUGAUUGCACUGAGAAGUUGAAAGCUACAGAUGGCAAGCUCUUGUCUGAUCCUACUCACUAUAGGAAGUUGGUUGGCAAACUAAACUUUCUUACCAACACCAGAAUGGACAUAGCUUACAGUGUACAACACUUAAGUCAAUUCAUGCAAACACCUAGGGAGCCACAUUUGAGAGCAGCUUAUCAUGUACUGAGAUACUUAAAGCAAGACCCUACAAUGGGGAUCUUCAUUUCAAACAAACCUGAUCUCACUAUUAGUGCUUAUUGUGAUUCAGACUGGGCUGCAUGCCCUGAUUCAAGGAAGUUUGUAAGUGGAUACCUAGUGCUUAUGGGUGAUAGCCCUAUCAGUUGGAAGUCUAAGAAGCAAGCCACAGUAUCCUUGUCUUCUGCUGAAGCUGAAUACAGAGCUGUAAGACAAGUUGUGGGAGAAUUAGUGUGGCUUGAAAGGCUGCUUGAUGAAUUGACUAUCAAAUGCUCCUUGCCAAUACAUGUCCAUUGUGACUGCCAAGCAACAGUCCAUAUUGCUAAGAAUCCAGUCUUUCAUGAGAGGACAAAACACAUAGAAAUCGACUGUCACUUUGUUAGGACUAAAAUCCAACAAGGCUUGAUCACACUCCAUCACAUCCCCACUGAUUCACAGUUGGCAGAUAUCUUUACCAAGGCUUUGACUGGGGUUAAACAUACUACUCUAUUGAACAAGUUGUCUGUAAUUACCUCACCUCCAACUUGAGGGGGGGUGUUGAGAAUAUAGUGUGUACAGUGAAGUCUGUUAGCACAGUAGAGUUGGUUAGUUAGUUGAAACAGUGAAGUUAGUUAGUUAGUUAGUUGCUUUUCAUUAUUCUAGAAUUGAGUAGAUGCUUCUAGAUUUUAGUAAUUAGAAAUUGUAUAUAAGGAACACAAUGUAACACUUAUAGUUUCAGUUUUUCUUCAAUGAAAGUUCUCUCUUCUCUUUCAAUCCAGUACCUCUGUGCACAAGCUUGACCUCCAUUAAUGGAGGAACAGAGCAAUUUAGCAGACUUAUGCUGCUGAUUUUAUCAGGUACUUAGAAACAUUGUGAUACUAAUUUCAUUAAGAGUAUAUAUAUCCGCACAUAGACGAUUUCAAACUUUCAUAUAUACUACUUUAUAUUUUCGAUCAGUGAAGUACUUAUAUCCAAAUUAAAAAAAAUGUAAAUACUUCUUUUCAAUUUCAACUUAAAAAUACAACUACUGUAACAAAUAGUACUAUAGUUUAUACCAAAUUAAAUUGAUCAAAAAAAUGUUUAAGUUAUACAAGCUUCCCUUAUUUUAGAAUAAUUUCCAAUUAAUGUGGGUAAAAGUUAAUAAAUCCGCUAACCAUACAAAAAGUUGGUGGAGUUGAAAUUUUCCUUUUAUUGAAACUAGUCAAGCAAAAUACAAGUUGGUAUGACUUGUUUAUAAGACUGCGACAAACAGUUUUAGUAUGGAGAUGUAUUAAUCAAUGAAGAAGUUGAUCAACUAAUAAAGUUAAAUCCAAUUAAUAUUCGUUCCUCGUGUAUAUUUAUAUUAUAUCCCUCAAGCAAGUAUGAUAUACAAUUUAAUUAAUUAUAUCAGCUUAAUGAUAAACCAUUAAGGAUUGGAUCCAAAAAUCCGAAUCCAUAAGUGUUUAAUGUGUUUGUGCCUAUUUGUAGCUCCAAAUGAAAAUCCGAAACUCAGUAAGUACUGUUGGAGCCUGACCUGCCUCAUUUCAUAGAAAACUACAAUUGGGAAAUGUACAGAAAUCUUAUAUAUUUAGAGGCUAAUUAUAUUUUAUUUACCAAAAGUUUUCUCAAUACUCCGAUACUUUUCUUAAUUAUGUGAUACAUUGCAAAUGAUACAUUACUUAAUGAGAGAGAUGUAUUCAAGGGGGGAUAGGUAUGGAGAUGAUUCCGAAAGGAAUUUUUGUAAUUUUUAUAAAAGAUAGGAAAUUUUAAAAAUUAUGAUAUCUUAAGUUAUGUAUCUAUGUAUUUUUUUUCAUUAUUUUAUUUUCAAUAAUUUUGAAUAUAUAUUUAGCCAUCCGUAUUUGCAAGUAUUAGAUUUAAAUAUACUUUGAAUUUUGAAACAUUGUGAUAUUAAUUUCAGGAAGAGUAUGUCAAGAGAUAAUUUAUUUGUCCGAUUAUUCUUAUAUUUGCUUAUAUGUUUUCUUAUAGUAUAUUAUAAUGUUAUUUCGUCAUAAAUCCAAGACAGAAAAGAGACUAGAAGAUUUAAAAUCUAGAACCAUUAUAUUUAUUGUAUUAAUACUCGAUACUUAACUUUAUAUUAAUUUUUCAACAUAUUAAUUAGUACUAAAUUUCUGGUAUAUAUAAGCAUAUCUCAAGGCUGAUCAUCAACUAGUGAUGGUGAUGGAGACGGUGCGUCACAGCGACAUGGUGGAAGCGCUGGUGGCGAAGGCAUUGGUUGGUCCUCAACUGACGGUGGAAGCGCUGGUGGCGGAAUCAUUGGUGGCUCCUCAACUGGUGGCUCCUCAGUUGGCGGAGUAGGUGGUGGCCUCUUAGGCCGAGGACUAGGGGGAUGACGAUGACGAUGUCCAUGUCGAUGUCGAUGUGGAAUCCUAAAUCUUAAAGAUUCAUGAGAUGAAUAUUCAUCAGUGAGUUGAUCUCCAUUAGUGAGCUCUAAGAAUGAGCUAACUACUAAAACUGAAACUACAAAUAGCCACUUCCCUGAUAUGAUAGCCAUAAUACUAGUUGUUAUAAUUCUUUCAAAUCUCUAUGUUGAGUAUGUAAAAUAACGUUAAAAGGGACCAAAUUUAUAGGACCAUGCAUGCAAAAAGAACAUUUAUGAAAUUUUAGUUGGGACAAUGGGGCUCAACUAUUAAAUGAGUUUUCCCUAACUAAAUAGAAUUUCAUUUGCAAGAUUAUCAAAUAUUUUUAGCCUUCAUCAGUAAAUAUUCCAUUAAGAUAUUUAUUAGUACUAUAACAACUAAAACACUAUCUUUAAACCUAUGUGUUCACACGUUCUAAAUAUUUGUUAAUCCACGGUGAGGAUUGUUUUAUCAAGAUUUAGGGGUAAAAAAUAAUACUCCUUCUGUUUAAAAAAGAAUGACCUCAUUUCAUUUUUAGUUUGUUUCAAAAAGAAUGAUCCUUUCCUUUUUUGACAUAACUUUAAUUUAGAACCACAAAAUUAAAAAGUCUUAUUUUCUUAAACUCCGUUUCAAGUCAAACUAGGACAUUUUUUUUGAAACGGAAGGAGUAUAUUUUUUUAAGUAGUAGCAUUAGUUGAAGAAAAAUUCAUUGGUUCACUUUCUUUUACUUUUCUUAUUUUUUUUAGGGGGAAAUGAAUGGGAUUAAAUCUUUCAUCGGUGAAGGACGAAGGGCCUCAACCAAUCAAAAAAUGCUCACAUCCCUAUUCACUUUCUGUUCAAUCUAAUUGCAUAUCUAUUACUGAGAUGUGAAAUUUUAUCAAUAAUUAGAAAAACUAAUAUAGUUUAUACUUAAUUAAACUGAUCAAGAAAAUAUUUAAGUUCUACAAGCUUCCCUUAAUUUAGCAUAAUUUCCAAAUUAUGUGGGUAAAAGUUAAUAAACUCUCUGACCACGUCACCAAAAGUUAGUGGAUUUGAAAUUUCCUUUUAUUGAAACUAGUCAUAGUACAAAAUAUAAGUUGGUAUGACUUGUUGGUAAGACUGCAAAUAGUUUUAGUAAGGAGAUGUGAUCUCUGCCAUCACCAAUGAAACAAGUUGAACCCUAUAUAUACUCUAUUCGUCUCAAUUUAUAUUACAUCAUUUAAUUUAAUAUAAAAUUUAAGAAAUAAAGAUUUUGAAAAUUUAUGAUCUAAAAUACUCUUAGACCAUUUGUGUAACUAUAAAUCACAUCAUUAAGGAUAAAGUGCAAUUUUGAAGUAAAUUUUUUAGUUUAUAGAAAGGUGACAUUCUUUCUAAAACGGACUAAAAAUAAGUGUGUCACGUACCACGUAUAAAUUGGAACAGAAGAAGGAGUAAUAUAAGGCACUCAUGAUUACUCACUAUAAAAUCUGUCCGAAUUAAAAAGAAACCCAACCAAAACUAGAAUGGAAAAAUUCCAACAAGAUUUGAUGAAAAAAAGGAAUUACGUACCAUGAACUAAAGUUGAGCUUUAUGAAAUUAAACCCAUAAAAUUUCCCUUGUUUGUGCAAAUAUUAAUUGGGAAACUUACAUAAGAUAUACUAUAUUAAAAUAUAUUUAUCAACUAGAGCAAUAAUAUUAAUUUGCGUUUCGAAUCAAAUACCGAUUUUGGGCCUGCUAAAGCCGAAAGAGUUCAAUGGAUUUGGGGAUAUCUGUAGGCCCAACCCAUUAAUUCAAGCCCAAACAAGGCUUUGUUGAAUAACAAGGCACAACACAAAACAAGAAAAAUUAUCGCAUAAUAUCCAACCCUUUAUUGUUCAAAACUUCAUUUCAUAUUUACUUAAUAGGGUUUCAAUGUCAUCAAUUGAUUUAGAAGUCCAGUUCAUCGUUAAAACACGUUCAUUUUAUCAUGUGAAAUGAAAUUACGCAGGCUUGAUGCGAGAUUGUCCCAUACGCGUAUAAAAUCCUAGUUCAAAUUGUCUUUAAAAUAAAAAAUAGUUAAAAAAAAACAAGAGACAUACCUCAAUUUCUACUAAUUAAUGAUGAUAAAGAUAUGAAUUUUAAUCAAAUCUCAUGAAUUUCCACUUUUUUUGAAGAAAAAAAAACUAGGAUUCUAGAGUAUAUUUAGCCAUCCGUAUUUGCAAGUAUUAUUUUUUGACUUUGAGGUACUUAGAAACAUUGUGAUACUAAUUUCAUUAAGAGUAUAUAUAUCCGCUCAUAGACGAUUUCAAACUUUCAUGUAUAACACUGUAUAUUUUCGAUCAGUGAAGUAAUUAUAUCCAAAUACAAAAAUUUAUAUACUUCUUUUCAAUUUCAACUUAAAGAUACUGUAACAAAUAGUACUAUAGUUUAUACCUAAUUAAACUGAUCAAGAAAAUGUUUAAGUUGUACAAGCUUCCCUUAUUUUAGAAUAAUUUCCAAAUAAUAUGGGUAAAAGUUAGUGGAGUUGAAAUUUUCCUUUUAUCGAAAAUAGUCAUGCAAAAUACAAGUUGGUAUGACUUGUUGGUAAGACUGCGACAAACAGUUUUAGUAUGGGUAUGUGAUCAUCAAUGAAGAAGUUGGUCAACUACUAAAGUUAAAGGCUUAAGUCAUGACGGUCCCUUAAAAUUGUCCGCAUAUUUUACUUAGACACAUCAACACAUCCAUUUUCCUAUUAGACACUUCAAUCUUAAAAAAUAAAUACCUAUCAAACAUUUUUCUGACACCUAGUUAAAAAAUGAAUUGCGUGUAAUGCACAUGCGGUUGAUAUGGCAAAAUAACAAAUUAAACGAAGACAUGUGGCAUUUUAAUUUAAUUAUUUUAAAUAAAUGAAAUUUAAAUAUAAAGAAAUCUAAAUCUAAAAAGAAAAAGAGUUUCAACUAAAAAAAAAAAGAAAAAUCUACUUAAACCACACCCACCCGAACCGCCGCACCCCCACCCACCCCAAACCUCCCCCUUCUUUUCUUUCCCUAAAAGAUAUCCCUUGUCCACCAUUGUUAUUGUUCAUCUUGGGGAAAAAAUUGGAGAUUUUAACAUAUACUAAGUAUGAAUUCACCAUUUUUGUUUCAAUUUAUGCCGUAUUUUUUAUUCCUAUUUUAAAUUGAUGCUAUUUUUUCUUUAAAAAAUCUGUUCUUCCUUUUUUAAUUUUGAUUUCGAAUUUUGAUUCUGCUUUGUUGUGGAGGAAGAAGGGGUGUGAAUCAUGGAUGGUGUAUAUGGUCUCCAUUUUUUCUGGUAAAGGAAAUGUGGAUGGUAGUUUUCAUUUUUUCCGGCGAAAAUGACAGCGGAAUAUAAUUCUAAAUCUGAAAAAUUAAUACAAUGACAAUUGACAAGAGGGUUAAAAAAAAAUGAAGAGAUGUCAUUGUGUACAACAAAGCUAGGGUUUAUCUGCUCUAAUAAAAUUACUAUUAACGCGGAUAAAAAUAUGAUAAACAACAUAUUAGUGCUUGAAAUGUAAGAAAUAAAGUGAAUAUGGAUUUCUUGUUGCCUGCAUCGUUGGAAUUUUUAUCAAAUUUAAGUAUAAACUUAGAAGAAGUAAAUUUGUAAAAAAAUGUUGAUGGUGGAUUGUUAUGAAGAAAUAGGAGCAGCAGGGGUCGUGCAAUUUUGAAGGAGAGGAAAUUGGAAAAGAUUGUUAUUUUUUAAGAAAAAAAGGUUGAAAAUGUGUUUGAUUAAAUGAUUCACGCGCCCAAUAUGGCGUGAAUCUCACUUUUUGUGCCACAUAUGCAGAAAGUGUCUAAUUGGUUCAAAUUCAGAAUAGUCAAGGUGUUCGAUAGGUACAAGUCCUAGUUAAAGUGUUUAAGUGAAUUAUGCGGACAACUUUAGGGGCGGUGUAUGACUUAAGCCAAAGUUAAAUCCAAUUAAUAUCCGUUCCUCAUGUAUAUUUUUAUUAGGCGGAAUGACCUUGGAAACCCUUAUACUUGGCUCAGAUUGUCAACUAGACCCUUCUACUCAUGACUUUGCCAAUUGAAAAACUCAAUGAAACACAAUAUUUUAAACCCCUUUGACCAUUGACCAAUUAUAUGUGGCAACUUAUUAGUUGAGGUGGAACAAACGUGUGAUCUCACGCGUUAAAAUAGCGUAAACAGAAAAAUUUGAGACUAAAACCAAUUAAAAGAAAAGAAAAAAUAAAUAAAAAGACAAAUCUUCUUUUCCCCAUUUUCUUUUCUUUCUUACCCAACACCACUAUCGCUCUUCCCCUCACCUAGUCCCCAUUUUUCUUUCGUGCUCCCUUUCCCCAUUUUUACAAUCUUUAAUAUGUUUGCAAAAAGUAUUUCAGAAAUCCUAGAAGUAGUUGCUUCAGUCUUUGUGAUAAAAAUAUAUAAAGAGAAGCUAUUGGGGGAUUGGGGAGGGGUAAUUUACAGGCGGCUAGGUAAUAGAGAUCUGCUUAUUUUGGAGAGUGAAGAAUGAUUAUUGUAUGUCUUUGUAAAAUUAAGUGGAACAUAUAUAUAUAUUAGAACAUAUUAAGAUAUUUUAGGGUGGUUCAUUGGCAUUAAUGGAGGAAACAGAUUCACAAUGGUUCAAGUGGUGGAUGAAGACCUUGGUAAAAAAAAAUGGAGAAAAAUUAUGAACUAUGAAAACUUGGAGAACAAUGAUAAUUUUUAGUUAUUUAAGGUAGUGAUAACCAGUAAGGAAUAAGGAUGUAAGAUGGCAAUGGUGUCUUUGGUGAAAAAAGGGAGGGAGAUGGUCAAGGAUAAAGUUAGUGUGAGGAAGAAACAUAGUGGAAAAAGAAAAAAAAUGAAAAUUUUAAAAUCACACAUUAAAAAUAACUGUUUUAAAUCACAAAAUUACAAAGUUUUUAAAAAGAAGAAUAAAAUAGUUUCAAGUUAAGCGAUAAUCGCAUAAGUUAAAGGGAAAAUUAUGCGGUUAAGCAAACAUAUACUAGUUAAUUAACUAUCAUAGCUAUAGUUUGCAUUAAUUACAAUUCGGAACUUACUUCUAGCUAUAAUUACACUCCUCUCUCUCACCUUUCGCCCUUCUUCCUCUCUCUCGCCUCUCUCCUCUUUUUCAGUCAUCUCUCCCUCGCUUCUCUCCUCUCCCUGCCCAGUCUCUCUCUUGAUUCUCUUAUGUCAAUCUCUCUCUCACUUUAUACAAACACAAAUUAUACAAACAUAACGUAUAAUUUGUUAGUGUUUGUAUAAAGCGAGAGAGACGAGAUACACAAAUACAAAUACAAAUUUAUCCCUGCCCAGUUCUCUUUUGUCUUCCCCUCUCUCUCUCUAUACAAACACAAAUUUUACAAAUACAAAUGUAUAAUUUGUGUUUGUAUAAAGUGAGAGAGACUUGAUAUACAAAUACAAAUGUUUGAACUCGAUUCAAUUGUAUACGGAAGCAAAUUGUAUGCAGAUAUACAAAUACAAUCAUUGAUACAUAUACAUACUAGUUAUAUAUAUAAAUACAAUUACCUAACCGAUGUACAUAUAAAACUCGCAUCUCUCCAUUCUCUGCCCUCUCACCCUCACCUCUCUCCUUCCUCUCCCAAUCUCGCUCGCUUUUUUCUCCCUCUAACAUGUAGCUACUAAUCGUAAUUAGUAAACUAUAGCUAUGGAACAUAAUUAAAACUAUUUUAGUGGCUAUUUGUGAAAGUUGCUCCAAAAUUAAAACGGGAGUCUAUGACAAUCCAUGAAGGUGUUAGGUGUGCGGUGGCUGAAACCAGUCACACAAAACCAUAAGCCCAUAAUAUUAUGUUAGAAAAAGGCACAAACACUUUAUAAAUCCCUUUCACUUGUUUGGGCUUUAAACAUUACAUAAACGAAAUUGAAAAAACAAGAAAAUUAAACUACAUUCUUCUUUCCUCAUACAUGAUCAUUUAUUAAUGGAAAUAACAAGAACACAAUCUUUAAUUUGUUUCUUUCUCCAACACUUAAAUUAACUCCUUAAACAUUCAUCAUCCCUUCCUAUCUUAAUUUCUAAUUUGCCAAGUUAAUUAGUACUUCUUGCAAGGCACUUUCUUUGAAGCUUCAAAUCCGAAAGGUCCAACAGUAAAGAAAUCAUAUUUAGGGGUGGGUGGUUUAAUAGGGAGAUGAGUAGCUGGAGCUGGUGGGGUGUACUUCAAUAGUGCACCAGAUUUGCCGUCAUUGUAAUUUGUUGGGACAUUACAGUAAGAAUUGUUUGAUGAUACUAAAAACACUUUGCAUUUGUGGUAGGCUCCUGAGCUUAAGAGUUUAGGAAGGAUCCAGAAGAAUCCAUUCUUGUCUGUUUCAGCCUGUUCUACUAAUGUCUUUUUGGUGUUGUUGCACACUAGCUUCACCUUGGCUCCUGCAACAUCAUAAUGUACGUACAAUCGAUAAGCAUCGAGUUCAUUUAAAAGAUAACUAUAUUUAAUUUAGCCAAUUAUAUAAGCGUAAGUUAUUGCUUAAAAUCACAUAAGGAGGUAAAUAAUGUACAUCUUUACCAAUGUGGAAACUCAACGGCUACUCAAGUCUCAAGAUCGAUUGGACAUCUGAAUCUUGGAUAAUAUAAGAUGGCAUCCAAAAUUCAGUAAAUCGUGAAUUUGGAUGUAUAGAUUCUAAUUCCAUGAUUAAAAAAAAAGUUUUACGUCUAAUUCAACCACAAAAGUUCAAGAGUAAGACCAUAUAAGGUGAAAAACUAUGUACAUCACUACUACCAAUGUGAAAAUUGGGACAUGUAAAUACAUGGUCGCUUUGUAAAAUUAGAUAUUUUAUGUAUACAUUUUCUAAAAUUAGUAUAAUAUUAUCGGUUGAUGCUCAGAAGACUAAAUGGUGCAUUUGAUUGAAAGUUGAGUUAUUUAUGAGAUGAGUUUUAAUGUAGUAAAAAAAAAGGAAAAAGGAUAUUGAAGAAAUUACCCUGAAGUGGUUUAGCUUGGUUAAGAGUAUUAAUCCCUCUAAACUUGCAAGGUUUGCAGUAAACAAGUCCUCUUACAGCUACAGGUUUCCUAGAAGGAUAAUAAGGUGAUGGUGUUGGUGGCUUAACUGGUGGCUUAGCUGGUGGUUUUGAUGGGCUAUAAGUUGGUGGCUUAUAUGGAGCUUUAGUUGGUGGCUUAGUUGGAGCUUUAGUUGGUGGCUUUGUUGGAUAAUAAAUUGGUGAAGGGGCUGGGGAACUUAUGGGGUGGGGGUGGGGAUGGUGGUGGUGGUGGUGGUGUGGCUUAGGGGCUUGAGCUGGUGCAAGGUGGUCAACAUUUUUGUCUAAUGAGUACCACUCAUCUUGAGCAUGGCUAACAAUUGUGAAUGAGCUAAGUAAUAAAACUGAAAGCUGAAAAAGAACAAGGGCCUUUGCCAUUGUUGCUAAAUUUUCCUCAACUGAAUUUAGCUAGUUGUGUGUGUAAAGGGAAGUAAGAGGCAUGAAUUUAUAGGGGCACAAUUAUAAGCUUCUAAAUUCGAUUUUUUUUUUUUAUUAUUUUUUUUGUAUAAUUUUUCUAGUUAGAAGUGAGUUUUAAGAAUAGUUUAUUUUUAAAAAUAUUAAAGCAUCAAUUUGUGCUUGAUUAAGAUUUCAAAAGUAUUUCUAAAAAAAAUACGCACUGAAAAAAUAAUUUUUGAAACUAUUCAAAAACACUUAUUUCUUCCUAAAAUCUUGAUCAAACUUUAAAAAAAUAAGCAUUUUAAACUUCCAAAACACAGACCAAAAAGAUAUACAAUAUCUAGAUGUAGCUGGCUGGAGAUAACAAAUAUUUAAUAUAAUUGUCGAGGUGCGUUCAAACUAACCUAAUAGAUAAUGGGUCAAAGAGUCAGUCUUUAUAAUUUGUUUUGUUUAUAUACAUAGGAUUAUAGUAUAUUACUCCACCAAUUCUGACCUAAUGUGUCCUUAAUGUUAGGGUUUGAAUUAAUCUUCAUUAAAGCAAGAAUCUAGCUAUAGAAGUCUUAACUAGGGAAGACAAGUGCUUAAAUGCUGCACAUGCAAGGAUUGGAAGGGCAUGUAGAAGUUUCCUAUGAGUGAUAUUGUUCAUGUACACUGUAAAAGAAAAGGAUGGUAAAAGAAGACCUUGUUCAUGCAAUGUUUUCAUCUUUGUCUCCCUCUUAAUAUAGCAAUGAGAUAUAUAGUAUAUUGUUUGUUAAUUCCACAUCAUGCUUGGUUUGGUUGAAAAUUGAAUUUUUCAUAAAAUUAUGGUACAUAACGAGAUUAAUUAAUUUGUAAUGUUUAUGAGCUAGAUUGAUAUUUCAAUCUUUUUUCUAAGAAUAUUUUGAUUAUGACAUUGAUAUUUCAAUCACUUUGUGAAAUAGCUUGUAAACUAUACAAGAGAUGAAAAUCACACUAGGCACAUUUCAUGUGACGAGUUCAUAGUUGAAUAACAAAUGAAGGCUAAAUUUGAUCCUAGUCUCCCAACCACUCAACCAUUAUUUGUGGUUAAACAAAAUCACUUUAGGUAGUGAUCCAAAAUACUUCAUAAAGAUUAAUUGAGAGACCCAAUGAAAAACGAAGAUUACUUAUUUAAAUUGGUCAACUAGUGAUUAAAAAAAAAGUUAGUACAUGACAACACAGGCUUGGCCGCACAGCUUUUAAAUCUUGUGAAGAUGAGUCUUAUCCAAGCAACCAAUAGAAAUUUUCUAAAAAGAAUUUUUAUUCUCACACAAGUACUGUUCAAUUUUGAGAAGGAACUCGUUGUAUAUUUUUUUUCUUUAUUCGAUGUCUGAUAUUUAUGUUGAAUUAUAUCAUGCCUUUAAAAUAUUUCUUAACCUAAAGAUUUCCAUUCUUAAAAGUUAAAUCCAAUGUUUUCUUUAUUAUGGGCAUAAAGCGUGUAGGUUAACAAAUUGGAGGAAAGUGGGUCUUACUGAUCCAUUUAAAAUAUAUUACGGUGAAUUCCAAUUGUCUUAGAAAUAAUCACCUUUGCAUGUGUUCACAUUAAAAUUUUGAACAGAAAUAAUAGCUUAAUUAUUUCUUUGUACAGGUGCAUAUGGCAUCUUCUAAAGUCAAGUGCUAUAUUAUUACUUUUUUGACACCAGAGUUAAAUUAUUUUUAACUAUAGAAGACGUAUCUAAUCUAGUUUUUUCUGCUAUACCAAUUAAAUGCGUCGUAUCAUAUUCGAAACUGGGUUAAACAAUCAUAACAUAAGGCAUAAUUCACGUGUUUGUACACGCAAAUUCAUGUAGCAAUUGGUUGCAAGACAAAUCGAAAAAAGACAAAAAAAAAGUUUACCUAUUAUACUCUCAAUUAAUUAUUUUGAAAAAGGUAGAACUUCUUAAAACUCUUAAGUUUUUAAUUCAUCUACUUCAUAAUUAAUAGGGGUAAAAUGAUAAACUUACUAUGUCAAUCAUUGUUAUCUUUAUAGAUGUGUCAAUUUAAAAGUGAACAAGUAAUUAAAGACAUGAAUUAUUUGUUAUAGGGAAAAAAGAAGAGGAAAACCUUGGAAGAGAUCAUAGACUAGUUAUCAAUCAAUGUAGAUUCCAAAAUGGGUUUCGUUGUUUGACCUUCGCUUAUUAAACAAGCAUAAUCCAUGUUCCUCGCACAAAUCUCCAUGUAUAAAUGUUGAUGAAUUAAUUAUCUUCUAUUUCCACUGUCUCAAAUUAUUUGUUUAUUUUUUUUUUAUUUGUUUCUAAUUAUUUGUCUAUUUUGAUAAGACAAAAAUACUCAUUACUCCCCUGAAUUUGAAGCUUUUUAUACGGUGUACACCUAAACUAAAUUCCGUUUUAAUUACCCCCGAACUUGUUUAUUCCUCCGUCGCGUACACCUUUUCGUCCACCUGGCGUAGAAAUUGACAACACACUCUACUAGGCGCGUGAGGAAGUGAUUUUUUGCCACAUCACAAAGCUGCUACAACGGUAAAAAAAUGUAAAAUCUCCAGUUUUCUUUAAUAUUUGGCAUAUUUUAAACGAAAAAUAGGGCAAAAUGUAAAUGAAAAGUAAAGGAAACAAAGAUUAACACUUACUUGGUAAGAAUUUCAGACAAAUUUGAAAUUUAAUCGACCAACUUCACGUCUAGAAAAACUCAAAUCCAGAAAGAGUUCCGCGAAAUUAGCCCUUAUUCAAAAAUAACUUUUGAACAAUGAAUUUUAAAUUUAAGAAAUUUAUUUUUUGCAAUAUUAAUUUAUCCAGGUGGCUAUUAUUUAUCCAGGUGGAAAUCCACAUCACCACUUUUGUCAGCUAUCGCGCGCGUGUAGUCACAAUAGGAGCAGGUGUACGAAAAAGGUGUAUGCGACGGAGGAAUAAAACAAGUUCGGGGGUAAUUAAAAACGGAAUUUAGUUUAGGUGUACACCGUAUAAAAAGUUUCAAGUUCAAGGGGGUAAUGAGUAUUUUUGCCUUUUGAUAAAUCAAAAAAGAACAAAUUUUUUUACCUAUUAUACUCUCACUGAAUUACUUUGAAAAAGGUAGAACUUCUUAAAAAUCUUAAGUUUUUAAUUCAUUCACUUCAUAAUUAAUAGGGUAAAAUGAUAAACUCACUAUGUUAAUAAUUGUUUUCUUAAUAAGUGUGUCAAUUCAAGAGUGGACAAGUAAUUAGGGACAGAGCGAGUAUUAAGUUAAGAGUAAAAAGUAUGUACAUUUAAAUUAUCUCAAUUUUUUAAAUUUAUAUCCGAACUAUAUAUUGAGAAUGUGAAUUUAUUACCUGUAAUAGUUAGCAAAACAUAUCUUUAUGACUAAUUUCUCAUGAUAUGUGUACAUUUUCUCGUUUGUUUAAAAAUUAUGUCACGUGACAAUCUGCGUGGAAAAAUAAUUCUACUAUGACAAAUCUAUAUAAAUAAAUAUUAAAUUAAAAGUUAAAGGAUAAAAUUAUCACCAUAUAAAUUAGUUUAUUCCAACCGUGACAUUCAUCAUCUUCUUCUCCACUUUCUUAGCCGUAACAUUGAUAUCUCCAACUUGAAAGGGGAGUUUAGUGUUUUAAGGAAGUCAAUCAAAAAUAUUUAUUUUUUAAAAAUUAAUGUGUCAGCAAAUAAAGGUGUUAUUUAUGUCAAUUAGUAGACGACGAUUGUGUGGAUAAACGCUCGUAGAAGCAUUCCUUGACAAACAUUUGUCUAAUCAACUACAUUUAGGUGUGUUUCGCUAUCCAUGGGUGAUAGUUCAGAUAGGAAACUCACUCAAUAGUUCACGUAGGAACCUCAAAAAAUGAGAUAGUUUUAAUGUGUUUUUUAUCUUUAAUUCUGAUGUAUAUUUGGGAUCUCAAAGGAUAAAAAAAAAAACUUAAUAUUAUGAUGAAAUACUACUCUAUUAUAGAGAACGGUUAUUAUAGAAAAAAUGAAAACUUUUCUCAAUUCAAGAAAAUAUGAAAGUUUGUAAAGAUUAUUAUAUGAUUGAAAAUAAACUACAACUUUGUUAAUAAAAUAUCUGAAGUUUAAAUUGAAUAACAACCAGAGAGAAAGUUGAGAUGAAGCAAUUCCUCUCGUGUAUCUUACGUAAGUUUCAAGUGGCUGUGGACUUCCCCAUUGACCUAGUAUUGGUUUAGUGAGUAUUUUCACCAGAUACAAACUUUUGUGGCCUCACAAAUUAAACCAACCAUAUGAAGGGACCAAACCUGGCCGGGCCGUCAAUCCUAACCACUAUUUUAAGGUUUGAUAUACCUCUCGUUAUGAAAGUGACUCAUUAUAUCCUUAAUAUUAUAUAAAUGACUCACAUAUACCUUUUUCCUCUAACGAAAGUGAAAAAACUAAUAUGAUAGUGAAAUUUAUUUAUGUUUCACCAAUUUUCUUGUAAAAUUUAUCAUAGAUGCCCCAUUUUUUAAACUACUAUUUACAAAAACCAACUUACAAUACAGCCGCAAAAAAAUUAGUUUUAGAUUUUUUUUUUCUUUACCCUAAAAAAUGAAAGAAAAAAAGAAUAAGAAACUCGAAUAGUGAUAAUCAAAGAAGUCAAAAAAUUAUUUUUAUAUGAAAAAGAUUAAAAUAUACCUUGAACUUUGCUAGAAGGAUCAUAUAUAUACCCCUACAUGAAUGUUUUUAACAUUUUAAGUCAAAAAAUAAAUUCAAAACUAUUUUUUUCACUUUCAUUAGAUGGAGGGUGUAUUUGAGCUCCUUUUGUAACGGUAAGGGUAUAUGUGUGCCAUUUAUAGAACAGCAAGGGCAUAUAUGAGCACUUUCAUAACGAGAAAUGUAUCAGCUCUAAAUGACAUAGUUAAGGGGUAUAUCAGACCAUUUUCCAUAUUUUAUUUACUAUACUAUGAUUGGGAGUUUCAAAGUGCUCAUCAUCAGGUCAACAUGUCAUGCCUGCUUGAGCACUUUGAGAGUAAUUCCUAUAAUUUCGUUUUGUUUGUUUUAUUUUUUAGUUUUUUAUAUAUUUAAAAAUUAUGUAAAAUAUAUUAUUUAUAAUCAUGAUAAUUGACAACUUAAAUUUUUUUAAAAAUAUAUUAAAAAGUUCGUUGAUUCUUGAAAUUAAUCUAUUAUGAAAAUUGUGUACAUAUUAUAUAGGGAAAAUGGUUAAAAAUAUCCCUUAACUUUGUUUUAUUGAUUGACUAUGUCCUUACCGUUAAAACAAUGUUAUUUUUAACCCUGUCGUUACUAAUUUCAUUAUUUUUGUCCCUCAAUUGGAUGAAAUGCCCCAAAUAACUUAAACUAACCCAAUUUCAACUGAUAUUACCCAAUUAUCUAUUUUAACCCUAACCCAAACCCGACCCAGGUUACUAAUAUUUCCUAAUCUUCAAAAUCAAAAUCAUAUUUGAGACUUUCCUAUGAAUUGACCGAAAAUUGAUGACUGAAAUUCGUACACAAGUGAAAAGCCAAUCCAAUAUCCCCUUCUUUCUCGCAAGCGGCAGAUUUUUGUCAUCAGUUUCUUCAUCUCCAUUUUUCAGCUACCGUUUAAUCCAUUCUUUCUUUAAUCUUGAUCAAUUUUACUUGUAAUGAAAUUUGGAUCUCUGUUGUUGUCAAAUGGGUGCCUAAAUUUAGGGGAAUGUAUAGCAGAUGAUUCAGAUUGUCAACUCCGUGAAAUUUGGGGUUUCCCCCUUUCUAAUGCUAGAUUUGCGAUUGAGGUGUAGUUGAAAAUUGUGUUGUCGAAAUUCGUGUAGGAAAUUUCAACUUUUAAUGGUUUUCAAUAUGUUGAUUCUAUUAGUGGGCGGAUGGAUUAUAUUUGAAGAAUUUCUUUCUGUAUCCUCAGAGAAGAAUUGAUCAGAGCAAUUUAGAUUGAGUAAUUUGUCUUUGAGACAAGAAGAACAAAUCCCAGCUGGAGAUGAAUUUGGAUGUUUCAUACAGGGGAUAUUUGAUGAAACAAAGUAAUUGAAAUCUGAAAUUUUGGUGUUUUCGCCAUUAAUGGUGUUUGUAGCUGCAACUUUGCCUAUCUUUCAUGACAAUUCUUGAUUUCGUUGUGAAGGAGAUUGAAAAUGAAGGAAUUGAGGGUUAGCUUCUAGUAAGAGGAAAAAAGAGAGAAUUGAGGCUUUCGCUUUAGGUUUGUUUAUUAAACAAAAUUAAUUUGUUGUUAUCUGUUAUUUAGUAUGGUGGGUUGAGUUUGGGUUAGGGUUAAAAUAGAUAAUUGGGUAAUUUCAGUUGAAAUCGGGUUAAUUGAACUUAUUUGGGGGUUUUCAUCCAAUUGAGGGGCACAAAUAAUGAAAUUAGUAAUGGUAGGGGUAAAAAUAACUUUGUUUUAACGGUAAGGGCAUAGUCAAUCAAUAAAACAAAGUUGAGGGAUAUUUUUGACCUUUUUCCAUAUUAUAAAUCAUGAUAACUUUUUUACAAUUUAAAAUAUUUUAAAAAAAAACAAAUAAAAAAUUUCGACUUUCUCCAAAUUAAUCUAUCGGUGACAGAUAAAAUAGGACAAAAGAAGUAAUAUUAUUUAGUUUGGAAAUUAUAUGAAAAUAUUAUAAAUUUCAAUAAUUAACAACAUUUGAUUGAGUUUUGAAAUUCUAUCCAAGCUACAUAUAUGGGAACAAGGGCAAUAACAUAUAUUAUUUAAAAAUUGCAUAAAAUAUACUAUAAAUCACAAUAAUUAAUAAAUUAAAAUCUGGGAUAUUAUUGAAGAUUUAGUCUUGACAAGCUUGAUUUUAGACGUGUAUAUCAGAAAUUUGCUUUGACAAAGUAAAUUUCUAACGCAUAAUUUGAAAUGGUUAAACUUAUAAAAAAGUUAUAAAAAUAAUCUGUGGAUUAAAUAAGGCCCCAAAAUCGGUUAUCUAUGACCAUGCACCCCUUUCGAUCUUCUUCUUCGUUCUUUAGUUAUAUACUUCAAAAGUUAGAUUUAGAACCAUUAAGCUAAAAAGAGAUGAAAAGUUACUUUUCUAUUUCAAUUUAUACAAUGUCAUUUAAUUGGCAUGAUAUGAACUAGGCAUAACAGAUAAAUUAGGCCCUUAACUUGACUUCGAGUUCCAAUUUUCGAUUUACACAAGUAGACAUCUAAGUAAGUACACAAGUUUUAUGUGUCACAUAAAACACCACAUAGGACAUAAAAUUGUCAUUAGAACACCACAUAGGAUGAAUGUGUAUUUAUUCAAUUUUAUAUAAAUUCAAAUGCCUAUUUGUAUUGAAUCAAGGUUGGAGGACAUAAAUGCCACUAAAGUUGUAAGAAAGAAAAAGACUGAAACUUGUGAUCCUAAUUAAUACGCAAUAAGAUUCCAUGACUAAAAAAAGAUCUCAUUUAAUUUGACGUAUAAUUAGAAAUUAAAGUUAAAUUAUUUUUAAACAUAAAUUUUUUUCAUGUUUUACGAAAAGAAAACAACAUAAUAUUAUAGAAAAUGGAGUAGUGCUUAAUGAAAACAAAUGGAAUGAGAAAAACAGUAACGAUAUAAGAUUUAUUUCCAGGAGAAAGAUGAGAUGGUGAAUAAUUACAAUACAAUACUCUCAAGUCUUAAGGCCAAACAAAAUCAACACAAAUUUUGGGAAGUUCUUCAAAAUCCUUAGCUAAAUUGAAGUCGGUGUUGAAAUUAUUUGAGGAAUUGUUGAAUACCCUUUUGUUGGAAACUCCUUUGUCAGCCACAACAGCACAAGAAUUAGAAACUGAAGAAGAAGGUGAAGUUAAAUAAUCAGUAUUUUCAUGUCUAAGUAGCUCAGCUAACAAAAGAACAAGAGAAGACAUUUGAUAAUAAAAAAAAAAUUCUAAUGAAAGAUGUUUUCAAGAUUUUUCCUUUGUUUGAUACAAUGAAUUCAAAGCACACAAAUUCCUAAUUUAUAAGCAACCAAAAGUAGGUGAAUAGUAGUAUUAAAAGCUGGCUUGACUUAAAUACUGUGUGAUAUUUAUUUAAUAUAAGAAAACAAGGGGCAAACAAAAGCAGUUGGUUCAGGAAAUAUGUGGUGAAUCCUGGAGAUUUCGAUUUAGUUCAUGUUUAUACUCCGUUCAUAUUUAUAUGUCAUCCUUAUUAAACAUAGACACUUCUCAAUAUUUGUCAUUUCACAAAAAUAAGGUAUAAAUGACACUAUUUUAUAUAUAUAUAUAUAUAUAUAUAUAUAUAGAUAUAUAGAGGAUAGUGCUAAAUGGCCAGAAAAUUUGGCCAGCCAGAAAUUUAAAAAAUCUAUAAUAUCUUUUUUAUUUAAAAUAAACUAAUCUUUUUUCAUUUUUAAAUUAAAAGAUAUUAAAGUUAAAAAGGUAAAAUACCAUUCUAGCCAAAAAAAUUGGCCAAAAGGAUUUUUCUAUAUAUAUAUAUAUUUGACUAACAUAGAAUAACUAAGUAAAUAGUUCAUGUGUAUUGGUCAGAAUAAUUAAUCAAAAUAAACUAAAUCAUAUUCAUUGAUUGAAAACUUGACUUUACGAGAACACUUAAUAAGGAUACAAUGAUAAAAUUACUUAAUUUCUUAGAAACGUGAAAUCUAAAAUAGUGACAACUAAAAAAAACCAACGUCAUAUGAAUAUCUUACUUAAUUAAUAAAUUUGAGAAAAUCUUAAUAGUUUAGUUGAUUGACUAUUUGAACACUCACCACCUUAUUGAUCCAUACUAUAAUCCCCUCCUCUAUUUUCCCAUUCCCUCCCCCAAUUUAAAUAAUAAUAAUAAUAAAUUUAUUUUAACUUUAUAAUUUUUUUUUAUGUAUAAUAACAUAAAUAUAAAAUUAGAAUAAAUAUAUUGGGUUAGACAGCACAAGUUACCGACGCGGCCCCUAGCUAUUUGUUCCUGUUGUUUUGUAGUGUAUUCUUGUUUUUGUCAAUAGUUUCGUCUUUUUGUGACUCUGCCUUUCAUUUAUAGAGGGCUCAGCCACCGCUACCUGUUUUCUCAAAAGUACUACGCUAAAAACCACGGCCUUUUGCGGUGCGAUUCUUUGUUAUUUUUAUUAAUAUAUUUCAUUAUAAAUACAUAAAUACACACGUAAUUUCAAUCUUAGAUGGUUAAGUGUCUAAAUAUAUACUGUUAAAAUUAGCGUGUUUAUUUAUUACAUAGCUGAGAUCAAGUUUAAGGGUGUCUUUUUUUUUUCCAAUUCCAUUUUCUUCGGUCAAUUCGCGGGGUUAGAUAUCGUUUUUGACUCAAUUAAGCUUAAUUGGGGUUCAAAAAAAGUAAGCUUUACUUUGGGUUUAUUUGUGGAAUAUAUUUUAGUAAAUUCUAGCCGUAUAAAAGUUUUUACGUCAUAUAUAUAAAUAUAAAAAUAAUAAUAUAUCUUUUUAGUUAAUACCCUUUGCAGAUAGUCGUUAGAUUCGAGCUCUGAGUAUAAUUUUUUUUUUUUUUAGGAAGUGUUACUCCCAAAUGGAUAGCAUGAAUAAUAAAAUAAAUAACCCUAGUUGUCAACUCUUUUGUCUUGAAUCUUUGAACUCCCAAAUCUUUGAAGUAUUCUCUAUUGAAUAAAUAACUCACUCAACAGUUCACGUAGGAACCUCAAAAAGUGAGAUAGUUUAAAUGUGUUUUUAAUCCUUAACUUUAAUGUAAUUGAAAUCUCAAAGGACAAAGAAAACUUAAUUAUUAUGAUGAAAUAUUACUCUAUUAUAGAAAACGGUUAUUCUAGAAAGAAUGAAAACUUUUCUCAAUUCAAGAAAAUAUAAAAGUUUGUAAAGAUUAGUAUGAUUGCAAAUAAACUACAACUUUGUUAAUAAAAUAUCUGAAGUUUAAAUUGAAUAACAACCAGAGAGAAAGUUGAGAUGAAGCAAUUCCUCUCGUGUAUCUUACGUAAGUUUCAAGUGGCUGUGGACUUCCCCAUUGACCUAGUGAGUAUUUUCACCAGAUAGACACUUUUGUGUCCUCACAAAUUAAACCAACCAUAUGAAGGGACCAAACUUGGCUGGGCCUAACAAUCCUAACCACUAUUUUAAGGUUUGAUACAUUUCUCGUUAUGAAAGUGACUCAUAUAUAUUCAUAAUGUUAUACAAAUGGAUCACAUACAUCCUUUUCUUUUUACGGAAGUGAAAAAAAUAAUGUUAAUUUAAUUUUUUAAUUAUUUUUUUGGAAAAAAAUAUAAUUCAUAUGGGGUAUAUUUGAUCCUCCUCAUGCGUAUUUUUUUUUUUUUUUGUUUUAAUAACUAAUUUAAAUUUAUUAUUUUGAUGGUCAAAGUUGUAUGUUUCACUAAUUUUCUUGUAAAAAUUUUCACAGAUGCCCCAUUUUUUUUAGGGAAAAUUAUAUAAAAUAGCAAACUAUUAAUUCAAAUUAAAUGUUAUAACCACAGUCCACAGUUUCAUUUAAUUCGAAUUCAUACCAAACACUUUGUCAUUCGCCUCUCUCCCCAGAAAUCUCGCUCACCACUCUCCCUGAUCUCGCUCGCAUCUCUCACUUUAUACAAACACAAAUGUAUAAAUUGUGUUUGAAUAAAGCGAGAGAAAACUGUAUAUACAAAUACAAAUACAUAUACAUAUAUUUUUGUCGUAUACACUUAUAAUUAUACAAUAUAAAUCUUCCCCUGCCCAGUUUUCUUUUGACUUUCUCUCUUUCUCGUUUUAUACAAACAAAAAUUAUACAAAAUACAAUGUAUAAUUUGUGUUUGUAUAAAGCGAGAGAGCAACCCGAUUCAAUUGUAUACGAAUUCAAAUUUUAUGCAAAUAUACAAACGCAAUUUUCAUAGACACAGAAACCCGAUUUAUACAAAUUUCUGCGAUUUAUACAAAUCAGAUGCCUGCGAUUUUAUACAAAUCAAAGUUGCCUGCGAUUUUUAUACAGAUCUGAUGCUCUAUAGCAAACUAUGUUUGCUAUGGAGCACAAAUAGCAAAAUUGUAGCUAUAGAGCGCUAAUAUGAUUUUUAUAUUUGCUAAACCUAAAAUUUACUCUUUUUUAAUUUUAUUUUUACAAAUACAAAAAAGAAAUUACAAUAUAGCCACAAAAAAAAUUAAUUUUAAAUUUUUUCUUUACACUAAAGAAUGAAAGAAACUCAAAUAAUUAUAAUUAAAGAAGUCAAUAAAUAAUUUUUGUAUGAAAAUGAUUAAAAUACACCUUAAACUUUGCUAGAGGAUCAUAUAUAUGACCCUAUAUGAUUUUUUCUAAAAUUAAAGUCAAAAAAAUAAAUUUAAAACUAAUUUUUUCACUUUCAUUAGAUGAAGGGUAUAUGUGAACUCCUAUUGUAACGGUAAGAGUAUAUGUGAGUCAUUUGUAUAACGAUAAGGGUAUAUAUGAGUCACUUUCAUAAUGAGAAGUAUAUCAGAUCUAAAUGACAAAGUUAAGAAGUAUAUCAGACCAUUUUCCCUAUUUUAUUUACUAUACUAUGAGAGGGAGUUUCAAAGUGCUCAUCAACAGGCCAACAUGACAUGCCUGCUUGAGCACUUUGAGGGUGUUCCUAUAAUUUUUUGGUAAUUCAUUCGUUUUAACUAGUUUGUUUUAUUUUUUAGAUUAUAUAUAUUUAAAAAUUGUGUAAAACAUAAUACUUAUAAAUCAUAAUAAUUGACAAUUUAAAUUUUUUGAAAAAAAUAUUUUUUAAAAAUCGACUGAUUUUUGAAAUUAAUAUAUUGUUGAAUUGUGUAAAGAAAUAUGGUAAUUGACAACUUAAAAUAUUUUUAAAAAGAUAUGUAAAAAAUUCAACCGAUUCUUCAAUUAAUCUAUCGGUGAUACAUAAAAUAGGACAAAAAGAAGUAACAUGUACAGUAUUAUUUAAUUUGAAAACUAUGUAAAAAGUAUUAUAAAUCUCAAUAAUUAACAACAAUUGAUUGGGUCUUUAAAUUCUAUCUAUGCUACACACAUUGGGACAAAGGCAAUAACAUAUACUCCUUUCGUCCCAUUUUAUGUGAGGUAGUUUGACUCAGCACGGAGUUUAAGAAAGAAAGAAAGACUUUUAAAAUUUGUGGUCCAAAAUGAAUGAUAGAAAUUUGUGUGGCUGUAAAUCAUUUUCAUUAAGUGUAAAUAGACAUUUUAUAGUUAAAUUGUUACUUAAUAUAUAAAUGUGUCAUUCUUUUUGGGACUAAUGAAAAUCUAAAAAUGAAAGUAAGUCACAUAAAUUGGGAUAGAGAGAGUAUUAUUUAACAAUUACGUAAAAUGUACUAUAACUCACCAUAAUUAAUAACUUAAAAUAUUUAAAAAUUAUACUAAAAUUUAAUUGACUCUCUAAAUUGAGAUAAAAAGUAAUAGAUAUUAAGCAUGUAUCUGGUAUAUUAUUGAAGAUUUAGUCUUGGCAAGCUUGAUUUUAGACGUGUAUAGCAGAAAUUUGAUUUGAGAAAGUAAAAUUUCUAACGCAUAAUUUGAUGAAUGGCUAAACUUACAUAAAUUUAUAAAAAUAAUCCGUGGAUUAAAUAAGGCCCCAAAAUCAGUGAUCUAUGACCAUGCACCCCUUUCGAUCUUCUUCUUCGUUCUUUAGUUAUAUACUUAGGAGAAAAUGGUCAAAUGACCCCUCAACGUAUAUUCGAAUUUUUAACUAUACACUUAAACUUCACGAGAAUUCUAUCACCCCUCUGUACUAUUUAAAAUUGAAAUUAUUACCUCCCUGAAUGUUUAGUUGGCAUAGUGAAUGUAUUUCACUCUCUUUGGGAGAGUGAGUAUCAAAUCUAUUAUUAAAACCUUAAUUUUAAUAUCUCUUUUCAAUAAAUAUAUAUGCAUUUUUAAUUAUUUAUUUUUCUUAUUUGUUUUCUUUCUUCUCCAACAAUAUAAACAAAUCUCUCAAUCUUUCACCAUCUCUAAGUCGUGCUGCCCAUCUUCACCAGAUUCACUAUUAUUGAUUCCAAACAAAUUUUCAAACUCAUAAAACUCUUGCAAAAUCAAUCAACCUAAAUCAAUUGUAGAUAAGUUUACAUAUAUUUAUAUCACCCCAAGAUACUUUAGAUUCGAUUUGAGAAAAAUCAAUAUGGGUUUACUUCAAACCCAAUUGAACCCACCGAAUUUUAUUUUAUUUUUACUAAUAGAUCAUUUAAUUAUCAAUCUCAAAUCUCAAUCAAUCAAUUAUAUCUCAAAAAUUAUCGCUAUUAAUCUCGUUAAUUCAUCAACCGUCGUAGAAUCAAUCUCUUCCUCUUCGAAAUUGUUGUCGCAAUCGAUGAUGACGUGGAAGACAUUGUAGGCUCCUCCUCCUCAUCUUCCUUGAGAGGAUUACUUAUCUUUGGUGACCACCAUUAAUGGCAAUAUUUUGCCAUGUUCGUCUUCUCUCCUGCCUUCACUUUUUUUUAAAUUUGAUUUUUAGGUUUCAAAUGAGCAAAACCAGUAUAUCUCUGGAUAAGCUCUGAAAUCAUUAUUCAACUUUUUUCCUUAAAGACCCAAUUUUAUGGACUUAUGGUGUUCUAGUAAUGUUGAAAAUGGUGGAAGUACUUUAGGUGUUUGAAGGGAUGGGUCAGAAUAUAGAAGAAAAGGGUAAAUAAAUAUAAAAAAUAAAAAAUAUAUAUUUGAUGAGGUGUCAAACAUGCCACCAUAGAUCUGGUUAUAUCCUUUUAAGGGUAUAAUUAAUUCAUCUUUAAACAGUUCAGGGGUGAUAGGACUCCCGUGAAGUUUAACUGUAUAGUUGGAAAUUCGGAUAUAUGUUGAGGGGGCAUUCGGCCAUUUUCUCAAGAAAAAAACAAUAACUUGUGAUUCUAAAUACUCCAAUAAGAUUCCCUGACUAGAAAAAUAUCUCAUUUAAUUUGAUGUACAAUUAAAAAAUCAAAAUUAAAUUUUUUUUAACAUAAUUUUUUUUUUUCAUGUUUUACGGGAAAAAAAAGCAACAUUAUAUCAUAGAAAAUGAAACAAAUGGAAUAGUGCUUAUGAAAACAAAUGGAAUGAGAAAAACAGUAAAGAAAUAAGAUUUAUUUCGAGGAGAAAGAUACGAUGGUGACAUAUAUAAUAAAAAAAAUUAGUGAAUAAUUACAAUACAAUACUCUCAAGUCUUAAGGCCAAACAAAAUCAACACAAAUUUUGGGAAGUUCUUCAAAAUCCUCAGCUAAAUUGAAGUCAGUGUUGAAAUUAGUUGAGGAAUUGUUGAAUACCCUUUGGUUGGAAACUCCUUUGGCAGCCACAACAGCACAAGAAUCAGCAACUGAAGAAGAAGGUGAAGUCAAAUAAUCAGUAUUUUCAUGUCUAAGAAACUCAGCUAACAAAAGAACGAGAGAAGCCAUUUGAUAAAAAAAAAAAUCUAAUGAGAGAGGUUUUCAAGAUUUUUCCUUUGUUUGAUACAAUGAAUUCAAGGCACACAAAUUUUUCCUAAUUUAUAAGCAAUCAAAAGUAGGUGAAUAGUAGUAGUAUUAAAAGCCGGUUUGGCUUAGAUACUAUACUCUGUG
rnacentral:lncRNA from 1 species